UGCAAGUCGAACGAGAGCGACCGGUGCUUGCACUGGUCAAUCUAGUGGCCAACGGGUGAGUAACACGUGGGUAACCUGCCCAUCAGAGGGGGAUAACAUUCGGAAACGGAUGCUAAAACCGCAUAGGUCCUUUAACCGCAUGGUUGAAGGAGGAAAAGAGGCGCAAGCUUCUGCUGAUGGAUGGACCCGCGGUGCAUUAGCUAGUUGGUGAGGUAACGGCUCACCAAGGCCGUGAUGCAUAGCCGACCUGAGAGGGUGAUCGGCCACAUUGGGACUGAGACACGGCCCAAACUCCUACGGGAGGCAGCAGUAGGGAAUCUUCCGCAAUGGACGCAAGUCUGACGGAGCAACGCCGCGUGAGUGAAGAAGGUUUUCGGAUCGUAAAACUCUGUUGUUAGAGAAGAACAAGUGCUAGAGUAACUGUUAGCGCCUUGACGGUAUCUAACCAGAAAGCCACGGCUAACUACGUGCCAGCAGCCGCGGUAAUACGUAGGUGGCAAGCGUUGUCCGGAUUUAUUGGGCGUAAAGCGAGCGCAGGCGGUUCCUUAAGUCUGAUGUGAAAGCCCCCGGCUCAACCGGGGAGGGUCAUUGGAAACUGGGGAACUUGAGUGCAGAAGAGGAGAGUGGAAUUCCAUGUGUAGCGGUGAAAUGCGUAGAUAUAUGGAGGAACACCAGUGGCGAAGGCGACUCUCUGGUCUGUAACUGACGCUGAGGCUCGAAAGCGUGGGUAGCAAACAGGAUUAGAUACCCUGGUAGUCCACGCCGUAAACGAUGAGUGCUAAGUGUUGGAGGGUUUCCGCCCUUCAGUGCUGCAGUUAACGCAUUAAGCACUCCGCCUGGGGAGUACGACCGCAAGGUUGAAACUCAAA
rnacentral:rRNA from 1 species